rnacentral:lncRNA from 1 species
GUCUGCAAAGAUUGGGAAAAAUGUUUUUUCAAAUGACAGAUUUUCAACAGAAGGCCUUUUUAUCUUUCAUCUAGAGACAUGUAUUGUGAUUUCUACUACAAUUUGUGAUCUUUUUAUUUUAUUUUAUUUUAUUUCCCCAGUUGUUGACAUGGCAGGACUAAGAAAAAAAAAAAAGCAGACAUAAUUAUUGAAAAGCUUCCUUGGUUUGAGGGAAAAUAUAAGAAAGAAACAAUUCCAUAUUUUCAAAGAGAUCUACACCAAGACUUUUUCAGGCUGUCAGCAGAUAAAAACAGAGAGAAAGGCCUGAAGUGGCAAGAUUAAGCUGCAUAUUGUGUAAAACUGAUCUCUAAAAGGCUUAGUUGCAAUUAGCUGAGCAUAAACCUAGCAGAUCAGAAAGCAGUGUGCUAAUGGAUUUAAAGUAAUAAUAUAUAUACAUAUAUAUACAUACAUACAUACAUAUAUAUGUAUAUAUAUCACUGAGAUAAUUCCAAUAUAUAUUAUAUAUACUUAUUUACUAAAUAUAUUAGUAUCCAAUAUAUUACUACUUUGAAUAUAUAUUUAAUAAUAUACAAUAUAUAAUAAUUGACAUAUAUAUCAACAUGUCAACUGGAAACAGAGAAAAAUACAUUAAUUUAGAAUUUACUACUGAACAGGACAGU